rnacentral:rRNA from 1 species
CCUACGGGUGGCAGCAGUGGGGAAUAUUGGACAAUGGGGGCAACCCUGAUCCAGCCAUGCCGCGUGUGUGAAGAAGGCCCUCGGGUUGUAAAGCACUUUCAGUGAGGAAGAACGCCUGGUGGUUAAUACCCAUCAGGAAAGACAUCACUCACAGAAGAAGCACCGGCUAACUCCGUGCCAGCAGCCGCGGUAAUACGGAGGGUGCGAGCGUUAAUCGGAAUUACUGGGCGUAAAGCGCGCGUAGGUGGCUUGAUAAGCCGGUUGUGAAAGCCCCGGGCUCAACCUGGGAACGGCAUCCGGAACUGUCAAGCUAGAGUGCAGGAGAGGAAGGUAGAAUUCCCGGUGUAGCGGUGAAAUGCGUAGAGAUCGGAAGGAAUACCAGUGGCGAAGGCGGCCUUCUGGACUGACACUGACACUGAGGUGCGAAAGCGUGGGUAGCAAACAGGAUUAGAUACCCGAGUAGUC